GAAAUGCGAUAAGUAGUGUGAAUUGCAGAAUUCAGUGAAUCAUCGAAUCUUUGAACGCACAUUGCGCCCUUUGGUAUUCCAAAGGGCAUGCCUGUUCGAGCGUCAUAUUUACCCUCAAGCAUUGAUUGGUGUUGGGCGUCUUGUCUCUAGCUUUGCUGGAGACUCGCCUUAAAGUAAUUGACAGCCGGCCUACUGGUUUCGGAGCGCAGCACAAGUCGCACUCUCUAUCAGCGAAGGUAUAGCAUUCAUUAAGCCUUUUUUUCAACUUUUGACCUCGGAUCAGGUAGGGAGACACGCUGAACUUAA
rnacentral:misc_RNA from 1 species